UACGGGAGGCAGCAGUAAGGAAUAUUCCGCAAUGGGCGAAAGCCUGACGGAGCGACGCCGCGUGAGGGAUGAAGCCCUUUGGGGUGUAAACCUCUUUUCUGUGGGAUGACAAUCCUGCUUCGAGCAGGUAGGGACAGUACCGCAGGAAUAAGCCUCGGCUAACUACGUGCCAGCAGCCGCGGUAAUA
rnacentral:rRNA from 2 species